AUGGCCUGGACCCCUCUCCUGCUCCUCCUCCUCACUCUCUGCACAGGCUCUGUGGCUUCUUCUAUGCUGACUCAGCCACUUACCUUGUCCGUGGCCUUUGGAAGCACAGUCACUAUCACAUGCCAGGGAGAGCUCCUAGACAGUUAUUAUGCUGAGUGGUACCAGCAGAAGCCAGACCAGGCUCCCGUGCUGGUCAUAUAUUAUGGAAGCAAACGUCCUUCGGGGAUUUCUACCCGAUUCUCUGGCUCCUACUCAAGCAAGAUGGCCACCCUGACCCUCAGUGGGGCCUGGGCCGAGGAUGAGGCUGACUAUUACUGUCAGGUGUGGGACAGCAGUGGUAACCAGCCCACAGUGACACAGGCUGAUGGGGAAUCCAGCCUGCACUAUAGUGAGAACAUCUCUGACAUGUGA